rnacentral:rRNA from 1 species
GACGAACGCUGGCGGCGUGCUUAACACAUGCAAGUCGAACGCUGAAGCUCAGCUUUUGUUGGGUGGAUGAGUGGCGAACGGGUGAGUAACACGUGAGUAACCUGCCCCCUUCUUUGGGAUAACGCCCGGAAACGGGUGCUAAUACUGGAUAUUCACUGGUCUUCGCAUGGGGGUUGGUGGAAAGGGUUUUUCUGGUGGGGGAUGGGCUCGCGGCCUAUCAGCUUGUUGGUGGGGUGAUGGCCUACCAAGGCUUUGACGGGUAGCCGGCCUGAGAGGGUGACCGGUCACAUUGGGACUGGGAUACGGCCCAGACUACUACGGGAGGCAGCAGUGGGGAAUAUUGCACAAUGGGCGCAAGCCUGAUGCAGCGACGCCGCGUGAGGGAUGGAGGCCUUCGGGUUGUGAACCUCUUUCGCUCAUGGUCAAGCCGCAACAAUGGUUGUGGUGAGGGUAGUGGGUAAAGAAGCGCCGGCUAACUACGUG